rnacentral:ncRNA from 1 species
GAGGUUUGGCACCUCGAUGUCGGCUCAUCGCAUCCUGGGGCUGUAGUCGGUCCCAAGGGUUGGGCUGUUCGCCCAUUAAAGCGGUACGCGAGCUGGGUUCAGAACGUCGUGAGACAGUUCGGUCCCUAUCCGUCGCGGGCGUUGGAAAUUUGAGAGGAGCUGUCCUUAGUACGAGAGGACCGGGAUGGACACACCGCUGGUGUACCAGUUGUUCUGCCAAGAGCAUCGCUGGGUAGCUAUGUGUGGACGGGAUAAACGCUGAAAGCAUCUAAGCGUGAAGCCCCCCUCAAGAUGAGAUUUCCCAUCACUUCAAGUGAGUAAGACCCCUGAGAGAUGAUCAGGUAGAUAGGUUGGGAGUGGAAGUACAGCGAUGUAUGGAGCGGACCAAUACUAAUCGGUCGAGGACUUAACCAA